GCGGGAGUGGCGGAACGGGUGACGCGCAGGAUCUAGGUUCCUGUGGCGGAGCGAUCGGCGGGGGUUCGAGUCCCCCCCUCCCGCACCA
rnacentral:tRNA from 1 species